rnacentral:rRNA from 1 species
UUAAGCGACUAAGCGUACACGGUGGAUGCCCUGGCAGUCAGAGGCGAUGAAGGACGUGCUAAUCUGCGAAAAGCGCCGGCGAGGUGAUAUGAACCCUUGACCCGGCGAUGUCCGAAUGGGGAAACCCAGUGCAAUUCGUUGCACUAUCGUUAACUGAAUACAUAGGUUAACGAGGCGAACCGGGGGAACUGAAACAUCUAAGUACCCCGAGGAAAAGAAAUCAACCGAGAUUCCCCCAGUAGCGGCGAGCGAACGGGGAGCAGCCCGGAGUCUGAAUCAGCUUGUGUGUUAGUGGAACGGUCUGGAAAGUCCGACGGUACAGGGUGAUAGUCCCGUACACGAAAGCACACAUGCUGUGAACUCGAAGAGUAGGGCGGGACACGUGGUAUCCUGUCUGAAUAUGGGGGGACCAUCCUCCAAGGCUAAAUACUCCUGACUGACCGAUAGUGAACCAGUACCGUGAGGGAAAGGCGAAAAGAACCCCGGCGAGGGGAGUGAAAAAGAACCUGAAACCGUGUACGUACAAGCAGUGGGAGCCUCUUUAUGGGGUGACUGCGUACCUUUUGUAUAAUGGGUCAGCGACUUAUAUUCUGUAGCAAGGUUAACCGUAUAGGGGAGCCGAAGGGAAACCGAGUCUUAACUGGGCGUUAAGUUGCAGGGUAUAGACCCGAAACCCGGUGAUCUAGCCAUGGGCAGGUUGAAGGUUGGGUAACACUAACUGGAGGACCGAACCGACUAAUGUUGAAAAAUUAGCGGAUGACCUGUGGCUGGGGGUGAAAGGCCAAUCAAACCGGGAGAUAGCUGGUUCUCCCCGAAAGCUAUUUAGGUAGCGCCUCGUGAACUCAUCUUCGGGGGUAGAGCACUGUUUCGGCUAGGGGGCCAUCCCGGCUUACCAACCCGAUGCAAACUACGAAUACCGAAGAAUGUUAUCACGGGAGACACACGGCGGGUGCUAACGUCCGUCGUGAAGAGGGAAACAACCCAGACCGCCAGCUAAGGUCCCAAAGUCAUGGUUAAGUGGGAAACGAUGUGGGAAGGCACAGACAGCCAGGAUGUUGGCUUAGAAGCAGCCAUCAUUUAAAGAAAGCGUAAUAGCUCACUGGUCGAGUCGGCCUGCGCGGAAGAUGUAACGGGGCUAAACCAUGCACCGAAGCUGCGGCAGCGACACUAUGUGUUGUUGGGUAGGGGAGCGUUCUGUAAGCCGUUGAAGGUGUGCUGUGAGGCAUGCUGGAGGUAUCAGAAGUGCGAAUGCUGACAUAAGUAACGAUAAAGCGGGUGAAAAGCCCGCUCGCCGGAAGACCAAGGGUUCCUGUCCAACGUUAAUCGGGGCAGGGUGAGUCGACCCCUAAGGCGAGGCCGAAAGGCGUAGUCGAUGGGAAACAGGUUAAUAUUCCUGUACUUGGUGUUACUGCGAAGGGGGGACGGAGAAGGCUAUGUCAGCCGGGCGACGGUUGUCCCGGUUUAAGCAUGUAGGCGGAGGUUCCAGGUAAAUCCGGUACCUUUUAACGCUGAGGUGUGAUGACGAGGCACUACGGUGCUGAAGUGAUAAAUGCCCUGCUUCCAGGAAAAGCCUCUAAGCAUCAGGUAACACGAAAUCGUACCCCAAACCGACACAGGUGGUCAGGUAGAGAAUACCAAGGCGCUUGAGAGAACUCGGGUGAAGGAACUAGGCAAAAUGGUGCCGUAACUUCGGGAGAAGGCACGCUGAUGUGUAGGUGAAGCCCCUGCGGGCGGAGCUGAAAUCAGUCGAAGAUACCAGCUGGCUGCAACUGUUUAUUAAAAACACAGCACUGUGCAAACACGAAAGUGGACGUAUACGGUGUGACGCCUGCCCGGUGCCGGAAGGUUAAUUGAUGGGGUUAGCGGCAACGCGAAGCUCUUGAUCGAAGCCCCGGUAAACGGCGGCCGUAACUAUAACGGUCCUAAGGUAGCGAAAUUCCUUGUCGGGUAAGUUCCGACCUGCACGAAUGGCGUAAUGAUGGCCAGGCUGUCUCCACCCGAGACUCAGUGAAAUUGAACUCGCUGUGAAGAUGCAGUGUACCCGCGGCAAGACGGAAAGACCCCGUGAACCUUUACUAUAGCUUGACACUGAACACUGGUCCUUGAUGUGUAGGAUAGGUGGGAGGCUUUGAAGCGUGGACGCCAGUCUGCGUGGAGCCGACCUUGAAAUACCACCCUUUAAUGGCUGGUGUUCUAACGUAGACCCGUAAUCCGGGUUGCGGACAGUGUCUGGUGGGUAGUUUGACUGGGGCGGUCUCCUCCCAAAGAGUAACGGAGGAGCACGAAGGUUGGCUAAUCCUGGUCGGACAUCAGGAGGUUAGUGCAAUGGCAUAAGCCAGCUUGACUGCGAGCGUGACGGCGCGAGCAGGUGCGAAAGCAGGUCAUAGUGAUCCGGUGGUUCUGAAUGGAAGGGCCAUCGCUCAACGGAUAAAAGGUACUCCGGGGAUAACAGGCUGAUACCGCCCAAGAGUUCAUAUCGACGGCGGUGUUUGGCACCUCGAUGUCGGCUCAUCACAUCCUGGGGCUGAAGUAGGUCCCAAGGGUAUGGCUGUUCGCCAUUUAAAGUGGUACGCGAGCUGGGUUUAGAACGUCGUGAGACAGUUCGGUCCCUAUCUGCCGUGGGCGCUGGAGAAUUGAGGGGGGCUGCUCCUAGUACGAGAGGACCGGAGUGGACGCAUCACUGGUGUUCGGGUUGUCAUGCCAAUGGCACUGCCCGGUAGCUAAAUGCGGAAGAGAUAAGUGCUGAAAGCAUCUAAGCACGAAACUUGCCCCGAGAUGAGUUCUCCCUGAGACCUUGAGUCUCCUGAAGGAACGUUGAAGACGACGACGUUGAUAGGUCGGGUGUGUAAGCGCAGCGAUGCGUUGAGCUAACCGAUACUAAUGAACCGUGAGGCUUAACCUU